GGCGGUGAGUGCACACCUAAGGUCAGGGACAGGGACAGGAGCUGGCCUUGGACGUCCCGUCCCACCCACUCCCUCCUGCCCCUGCCAGCAGGAAAACCCGGACGGGGCGGUUUUGAGCGCUCGGGGUGGGGCCUUUUCUUCUUCCUUGGUGCCUGUUGGUAGCCGGAGGCAGGGGCUGCCGAGAAGGCCCCUUGGGCCACUGCUGCCACAGAGAGCAGCCCCCGGGGACAGGUGGCGACCCCGGUCCCAGCAGUCCCGAGGCGGGCCCAGCUAGGCCCAAUCAAACCCCAGGGAGCAGCGGGCCCUGUGCAGACGCCCGGGGUGAAGCCCACCAGACCACAGGAGGCACUGGCCGGUGGGGGCCUGCCCACCCCGUUACUAACCACCAGCACCCCCCACCCCCUAGAAUUCCACGUAGAAACAGACAUCCCCAACUUCCCUGGCAAAGCCACAGGGCAUCCUUCAGAUCUGACGCUUUUUAUGCCUGUCUGCUUCACAGACGCACUCACUGGGUUUUCUUGCCAUGUGCCAAACCGGCCACACGUAGCCUCUCAGGCCUCGUGGCCGGGGUUAUGCCGGGGCCUCGAGAUGUGAGUGAAAACCACAUCGCCAGCCAUAUGUCUUGCUACCCAACUCUCACAAUAGAGAAAUACAUUGGCCUGUCUCCGUAACUCCUUGUCUUGCCGGAGGGGCUGCUGCGGGCACCAGGGGCACGUCUCGGGCCUGACUCCUGACCUGGGUGGUUUUCAGGUUGGGAGCCAGACCUGCCACCUGUGUGUCCUUCUGUGGGAAGGAUCAAAACUGGUUACACAAAAGAGCCAUGCUCUGUCCCAACAACCACCUCGGGACCAGCGGAGUAGAGCGAGGUGAGAUGGAGAGAGCCCGGGCGGAGUGGGGGGGCAUGAGCAGGGCCCCCACCCCGAGCCCACGUACCGGUCUGGCCCUGGAGCUGGCAGUGGCUCCCGAUCCUCCCCAGGGGGCACAUGCAGCUGUGCUGGUCGGCUCCUUCCACACAUGUCCCAUCGUCCUGACACGGCUGGCUGGAGCAUUCGUGGGUGUCUGGGGGAAAGUUUCAAACACAAGCGUGUGAACUCUGGUUCUGAAAAGAAAAGGAUGAGUGUGGAAGGUUGAAUAACGUGCCCGACAGGGAUGCGUUUUUAAUCUCAACCCACAUUGCUGGGGUGUGAUCCUCUGUAAACCGGAAGGUAACGCGUUCAGCUAAGUGCGGCCAACUGAACAGGGGCUCAGUCCAUGGUACCUGAGGCCUUACACAGAGAAGCCAGAAGCCAACCGAGACCGGGAGGGCAGCCCGGGAGAGCGUGGUCAUCAGGGAACCACCGCAAGCCAGCAGCAGAUGCUGAAGUUUUGGACGUUGGCUUCUGAAACCGUGAGCCACCCCAGUGGUAUCUGUCAGAGCAGCCGGGCAAGCAAGGGCACUGCCGGCUCUCCCCACCCUGCUUUGCCACCCUUUCCACUGCACAAGCCCAUCGGCUCUGAACUGGGGGUGCCUGGCUGCUAUGUGUGGGAGGGUCCACCGGGGCCGAAGCACAGCCCCCUCCGCUCAGCAGGCCGCGUGCCCGGGACAUGCUGUGCCCUCACCUUGCCCAUCCCAGCAAGGGCACCACUUCCCAACGCACCGCCUGGCUUCCUGCCAGCACCCGGGCACCUGCUGGGCAGGAACACGGUUCAGGGAGGUUCACGGGGUGGGAGUGGGGACAAUGAAAACUCCUUCCACGCCCUGCCAGAGGUCUCCCCUGCUCGCCCUCCUGACAGCCAGGUAGGGUUUCUCUUCGCCUGGAGAUUUCCUUAAUGCUGGAAAAGGAGGUGCUCCUUGCUUCUGGAAGCAGCAGUCCUGGGAGAAGGUUCACCACAUACGUGUGCAGACAGAGAGGGAGGGGCAUUUAAAAGUUCAGUAGGUUUUUUCUGAGUCUGGAUCACAGGGUGUUUGCUUGUUUAUACUCUUUCGUAGCCUCCCACUCUCCACAGUGAACAUUGUGCCAUCAGGCACGUUUGCGUUGUGCCUCUACAUUUUCAGGGUUUUUACGCAUCCGGAGCCCUCCCUGUGCUGCUCCCCGCCCUGUGCCUGCUUGGGCCCCGCGUGCCCCUCUCCCAACGCUCUGUCUGGCUGGAACCAGGCGCCGCAGUGACGGGUCUCCAUGGCAGCCAGAACUUUGAAAAGUGAACAUGUCCCGUGUGCCAAGUCUGACUUUCCUCCACAUCAAGGACUGAUCGUCUUCCGAGCCCGUGUGGUGGCCGGGGGCUCCGAUCCCCAGAAAAGCAGCAGGAAUCUGGAACAUGAUGCUUCUCCCGCACCUCACCGGGGUCUCUCCUGAAGCUUGUUCACGCUGCAGACGGCAAGGACACCGAGGCCCCGCACCACCCGCGACGCCAACAGCCUCACACACACAGCAGCCGCGAGAGGCGCUUCCCUGCUGCCCCUUGCUCACAUCCAUCCCAUCCCGGAAAAGCUUUCCUGCCCCAGAGUCUACAAGACCCAUCACAAGCAUCGGAGCAGAGCGAGGCGCCGGGUGCAGGCUCUGGGGUCGAGUCCCAGCACGGCCCCUCCCAGCUCCUAAACUCCCUGUGCCUCAGUUUCCCCACAUGUAAAGCAAGACUAUAAACUGCUGCGAGGGUUCAGCAAG